ACCGCGUACUUACCUACUGUAUGGUAGCUAAGAUGCAUGUAUUUCGCCUAUUAUAUAGCGGGUAAGUACGCGGUUU
rnacentral:pre_miRNA from 2 species